rnacentral:rRNA from 2 species
AAAUUGAAGAGUUUGAUCAUGGCUCAGAUUGAACGCUGGCGGCAGGCCUAACACAUGCAAGUCGAGCGGUAGCACAGAGAGCUUGCUCUCGGGUGACGAGCGGCGGACGGGUGAGUAAUGUCUGGGAAACUGCCUGAUGGAGGGGGAUAACUACUGGAAACGGUAGCUAAUACCGCAUAACGUCGCAAGACCAAAGUGGGGGACCUUCGGGCCUCAUGCCAUCAGAUGUGCCCAGAUGGGAUUAGCUAGUAGGUGGGGUAACGGCUCACCUAGGCGACGAUCCCUAGCUGGUCUGAGAGGAUGACCAGCCACACUGGAACUGAGACACGGUCCAGACUCCUACGGGAGGCAGCAGUGGGGAAUAUUGCACAAUGGGCGCAAGCCUGAUGCAGCCAUGCCGCGUGUGUGAAGAAGGCCUUCGGGUUGUAAAGCACUUUCAGCGGGGAGGAAGGCGGUGAGGUUAAUAACCUCACCGAUUGACGUUACCCGCAGAAGAAGCACCGGCUAACUCCGUGCCAGCAGCCGCGGUAAUACGGAGGGUGCAAGCGUUAAUCGGAAUUACUGGGCGUAAAGCGCACGCAGGCGGUCUGUCAAGUCGGAUGUGAAAUCCCCGGGCUCAACCUGGGAACUGCAUUCGAAACUGGCAGGCUAGAGUCUUGUAGAGGGGGGUAGAAUUCCAGGUGUAGCGGUGAAAUGCGUAGAGAUCUGGAGGAAUACCGGUGGCGAAGGCGGCCCCCUGGACAAAGACUGACGCUCAGGUGCGAAAGCGUGGGGAGCAAACAGGAUUAGAUACCCUGGUAGUCCACGCCGUAAACGAUGUCGAUUUGGAGGUUGUGCCCUUGAGGCGUGGCUUCCGGAGCUAACGCGUUAAAUCGACCGCCUGGGGAGUACGGCCGCAAGGUUAAAACUCAAAUGAAUUGACGGGGGCCCGCACAAGCGGUGGAGCAUGUGGUUUAAUUCGAUGCAACGCGAAGAACCUUACCUGGUCUUGACAUCCACAGAACUUUCCAGAGAUGGAUUGGUGCCUUCGGGAACUGUGAGACAGGUGCUGCAUGGCUGUCGUCAGCUCGUGUUGUGAAAUGUUGGGUUAAGUCCCGCAACGAGCGCAACCCUUAUCCUUUGUUGCCAGCGGUCCGGCCGGGAACUCAAAGGAGACUGCCAGUGAUAAACUGGAGGAAGGUGGGGAUGACGUCAAGUCAUCAUGGCCCUUACGACCAGGGCUACACACGUGCUACAAUGGCAUAUACAAAGAGAAGCGACCUCGCGAGAGCAAGCGGACCUCAUAAAGUAUGUCGUAGUCCGGAUUGGAGUCUGCAACUCGACUCCAUGAAGUCGGAAUCGCUAGUAAUCGUAGAUCAGAAUGCUACGGUGAAUACGUUCCCGGGCCUUGUACACACCGCCCGUCACACCAUGGGAGUGGGUUGCAAAAGAAGUAGGUAGCUUAACCUUCGGGAGGGCGCUUACCACUUUGUGAUUCAUGACUGGGGUGAAGUCGUAACAAGGUAACCGUAGGGGAACCUGCGGUUGGAUCACCUCCUUACCUUAAAGAA